CCUACGGGUGGCAGCAGUGAGGAAUAUUGGUCAAUGGACGAGAGUCUGAACCAGCCACGUCGCGUGAAGGAUGACUGCCCUAUGGGUUGUAAACUUCUUUUAUAUGGGAAUAAAAUGUUCCACGUGUGGGAUUUUGUAUGUACCAUAUGAAUAAGGAUCGGCUAACUCCGUGCCAGCAGCCGCGGUAAUACGGAGGAUCCGAGCGUUAUCCGGAUUUAUUGGGUUUAAAGGGAGCGUAGGUGGAUUGUUAAGUCAGUUGGAAAAGUUUGGGGCUAAACCGAAAAAUGCAAGUGAAAAUUGGCAGCUAGAGUACAGUAGAGGUAGGCGGAAUUCGUGGUGUAGCGGUGAAAUGCUUAGAUAUGACGAAGAACACCGAUUGCGAAGGCAGUUCACUGGACUGCAACUGACACUGAGGCUCGAAAGUGUGGGUAGCAAACAGGAUUAGAUACCCCUGUAGUC
rnacentral:rRNA from 1 species